GACGAACGCUGGCGGCGUGCCUAACACAUGCAAGUCGAACGGGGUCCAUGGGAGCUUGCUCCCAGAAGACCUAGUGGCGAACGGGUGAGUAACACGUGAGAAACCUGCCCCGGAGUGGGGAAUAACUCGAGGAAACUCGAGCUAAUACCGCAUACCCUCAGAUGGUCGCAUGGCCGACUGAGGAAAGAAUUUCGCUCUGGGAGGGUCUCGCGGCCUAUCAGCUAGUUGGUGGGGUAACGGCCUACCAAGGCAGCGACGGGUAGCUGGUUUGAGAGAACGAUCAGCCACACUGGGACUGAGACACGGCCCAGACUCCUACGGGAGGCAGCAGUGGGGAAUCUUGCGCAAUGGGCGAAAGCCUGACGCAGCAACGCCGCGUGCGGGAUGACGGCCUUCGUGGUUGUAAACCGCUUUCAGCAGGGACGAAAAUGACGGUACCUGCAGAAGAAGCUCCGGCUAACUACGUGCCAGCAGCCGCGGUAAUACGUAGGGGGCAAGCGUUGUCCGGAUUCAUUGGGCGUAAAGAGCUCGUAGGCGGUUCAGUAAGUCAGGUGUGAAAGCUCCGAGCUCAACUCGGAGAGGCCACUUGAUACUGCUGUGACUAGAAUCCAGUAGGGGAGCGUGGAAUUCCUGGUGUAGCGGUGAAAUGCGCAGAUAUCAGGAGGAACACCAGCGGCGAAGGCGGCGCUCUGGGCUGGAAUUGACGCUGAGGAGCG
rnacentral:rRNA from 1 species